GUGCCAGCCGCCGCGGUAAUACGUAGGGGGCGAGCGUUGUCCGGAAUCACUGGGCGUAAAGGGCGCGUAGGCGGUCAGGUAAGUCAGAUGUGAAAGACCGAGGCUCAACCUUGGGGUUGCAUUUGAAACUGCUUGACUUGAGUGCAGGAGAGGGAAGUGGAAUUCCUAGUGUAGCGGUGAAAUGCGUAGAUAUUAGGAGGAACACCAGUGGCGAAGGCGGCUUUCUGGACUGUAACUGACGCUGAGGCACGAAAGCGUGGGUAGCGAACAGGAUUAGAUACCCUGGUAGUCCACGCCGUAAACGAUGAUCACUAGAUAUUGGCGACAUACAGUCAGUGUCCAAGCGAAAGUGAUAAGUGAUCCACCUGGGGAAUACGGCCGCAAGGUUAAAACUUAAAUAAAUUGACGG
rnacentral:rRNA from 1 species